GGAGUUGGUGUUAUAUAGUAGAAUAGAUAAUGGGGUUAUUAUAGGCUAUGGAGGUAAGUAGAUUCUGGCUUUGGUUAUCCAUGAUGAUCCCCUUUUCUUAUAUUCAUAGGGUUUAAGCUAUCUGCUAGCUCGUAUUCAUCUUCAUGCAGUGCCAGUUCUUUAGGAGCCAAAGCAUAUGACAGGGAGGCUAUUUUGUUAAGUGGCUUUGUAGCUGACUAGCAGAUAUCUCUUGGUUCCAGAAUAUCAUUCAUUCCUAUUGAUCUAGUAAGCUGGUGAUCAUCUCUCAUUUCUUUGACCUGCUCCUUGGUUGUUAUAGGAUGUACACUCUAAUUGGAGCAUGAUAUGACCUUUCUCAUUUGCGUCAUUCUUAACCUUGAUUUAAGAAUCAGUUAUAGUUGUUUUCUCCUGAUUCUUAGUGUUCAUGUGAUAGGAUAACUUGUUAUUUCUGUUGUUGCUGAAAGGCUUGCGCAACAGGGAACAAUCUUUCUCGGGGGCAUCUUGAUCUCGGAGGCUAUAUGAAAGAUUGGAGUUUAAGGUUGUGAUUUUUUAUCAAGGGGGAAUGCUAUGUUUGUUAGUGGAGCUUGCUGUAAUUUUUUUUCCCUACACAAACUAUUCACAUGGAAGAUUAAUUUAGUAUUUCUGCUGUUGCAGAUGUGCUUAUAUUGUAGAUGCAAAUUUUCAAAGGCAGAAGAGCUGAGUUCAUCCUUAUAUCCUAGUCAUUGUUUAUGUGCAUUUGUGCACCUAAUAGUCAUCUUUUUCCAUUAUUGGCUUGUGUUCUCUUAAUGGAUCUGGUCCCUUGGUAGGUUUUGGAAAAUGCUGGAUUAUGAUUUGUAAUGGGCUUCUUUUUCUUCCCGUUGGAUUUGCGCUAUACUUUUUCUUUCCUUGAUAAUCAUGCUAUUAUAUUUUGUUGGCAGUGGUGUCUUAGAACCGAUAUAAGUUCUUCUAUUGAUAAGUGACUUAGUAGCUGCUUCACUUAAAUCUGGGUUUGUUUUUUCAUCCUUGUUCCAAUUACUCAAAUAUUUUUUUAUUAUUGGUAAUGGAGCACUCCAAGUGGAGCAGUGAUUUUUCAUGCAUUGUUGUGUAUGGGAAUUGAUAUAUAAUAUAUUCUGCUACUACUGAGUGACUUAGUAUCUGUUAGUCUAUUCUGUUCAUCGUUGUUCCUAAUGCUCAACUUUUGAAGGCACCCUGGGGAAUGGAAGGGGCUUAAUGGCUUAUGCCAUUUCAUUGUAUUUUAAUCAUCAUUUACAGACUGUUGGCUCCUUAAUUUCAUUAUCAGUAUCAAGAUUAUUGAUGGUUUUACUCUAUUGUUGCUUGCAAGCAGAUGUAGAUUUCUUGAAGAUUUUCUUUAUUAAGGUAUGUGACUUUCUUGAACAGUUGCUGCACUCUUUUUGAUUUGAAUGCUUAAUGUAGUCUGGGUGGAUUGGAGUAUGAUAUGCUUUUUCAUGGAGUUCCUCAACUUUGACUUAGAAUUAGUAAUAUUAAUUUUUCUCCUUACACCUAGAGUUCAUGUGAUAGGUUUUGUAUUUCCACUGUUGUAGAAGAUCUUGGGCAUCAUGGGAUAAUCUUGCUCAUGCGUAUCUUGAUAUGAUUAUUGAAAAGUUUGUUAUGCUAGCUUUUUCCUACUGUAGCUGUUCAUGUGGAAUCAUGAAAGUAAAUUUAUUAUUUGUUCUGUUGCAGAUGAGCUUGUCCUGUAGGACAGAGAGUUGCCCAUAUCGAAGAGUUUGUCCUUGUUUAUGUCAUACAAGUUGUUUAAUACCUUUAUGUUCCUGAUUACCUUUAUUUCGCUGGUUUUAUUCCUUAUGGUUAAUCUCUUAAUAAUUCUUUAUGUUCCUGUACCAUGUUUCUUAUCUAUGUUCCAAAAUCUUAUUAAACGUCAUUAGUUCCUGUUGCACCAGUGACCUAGUGACUUCUUCUCAUUUGUUUGACCAGCACUGAUGUUUUAAAUACUGGUGAGACUGUGGGGACCUUGAGUGCUUAAGACAGUCUGGGUGGAUUGGAGCAUGAUAUGUAUUUUUCGAGGGGGUUCCUCAACCUUGGAUUGUAGAAUUUGUUCUAUGCAUUUUUUCCCCUUUUAUGCUUAUAAAUUAUACUACAUGUCAUUGGCUAGUUUGCUAUUUCUGAUGUUGCAGAAGACCUUGUGCGACAUUGGACUAUCUUGCCUGAGGGCAUCUUGAUCUAAUGAUGGAAGACAGUUUGGAGGAAAAAUAUAUUAUAAUGAUAUGAUUUUUUACGAAAGCGGGUUUCUCAUCUUUGAUACUGAAGUUAUACAAUUUUCUCUUAUACUAGCUGUUCAAGGGGAAAUGUGUAUGUUAAUUUAUUCUUUGUGCUGUUCAUAUGUAGGUCAUGAAUUUGCUUCAAGGACUUGUCGUUGUUUAUGUCACCUUUUGUGUACAUAUCCUUAUGUUCCUAGUUGCCCUUUUUAACAUUAAUUUCUAAUGUCAUGUUUUGCUUCACCGGAAAUUUGAUUUGAUUAGUAAUGGCUGUGCAGAAAUUGGAAUUAAGAAAGGGUUUUCAUGAGGGGGUUCCUUUCUUCCACUAAUUGUUUAGGAGAUAAAGCAUGUUGGAAAUGGCGAGAUAUUAUGUUGACAAGUGGAUUCGCAGCUGAUGUGCUGUAUUUAGUUUUAGUUUCAUGUAUAUUCCAAAAUUUCAUUCAUUUUUAGUUUUAGUUUUAUAUUGAUAUGGACUGUUAGCUCUGUGAUUGCUUGUUUAUCAAUAUUGGAAUUAUUGGUAUGACA
rnacentral:lncRNA from 1 species